AGGAUCCCACUGUCUCCCCCCUCCAAUCAGUGAAACUGAUCUCUCCGUGAAGAAGCGGGGAUACAAAUAUAAGACGAGAAGACCCCAUGGAGCUUUAAACCCAACAGCACCCGUUUAUUUUCAUCCUCACAUAAGUUAGGUUAUGCCUGUUUGGUUUUAGGUUGGGGUGACCACGGAGUAUAAAACAACCUCCAUGAAAAAAGGACCAAAAAUCCUUAUUAGAGAAAGACAUUUCUAAAAUUAAUAAAUUAAUUUUUAAUGAUCCGAUAUUCGAUCAACGAACCAAGUUACCCUGGGGAUAACAGCGCAAUCCACUUCAAGAGCUCCUAUCGACAAGUGGGUUUUACGACCUCGAUGUUUGGAUCAGGGUAUCCUAGUGGGUGCAGCAGCUACUAACGGUUCGUUUUGUUUCAACGAUUAAACCCU
rnacentral:rRNA from 1 species